UGGGGAAUCUUGGACAAUGGGCGGAAGCCUGAUCCAGCCAUGCCGCGUGAGUGAAGAAGGCCCUAGGGUCGUAAAGCUCUUUUGCCUGUGAAGAUAAUGACGGUAGCAGGUAAAGAAACCCCGGCUAACUCCGUGCCAGCAGCCGCGGUAAUACGGAGGGGGUCAGCGUUGUUCGGAAUUACUGGGCGUAAAGCGCGCGUAGGCGGACCUUUAAGUCAGGGGUGAAAUCCCGGGGCUCAACCCCGGAACUGCCUUUGAUACUGGGGGUCUUGAGGACGAGAGAGGUGAGUGGAAUUCCGAGUGUAGAGGUGAAAUUCGUAGAUAUUCGGAGGAACACCAGUGGCGAAGGCGGCUCACUGGACCGGUACUGACGCUGAGGCGCGAAAGCGUGGGGAGCAAACAGGAUUAGAUACCCCUGUAGUCC
rnacentral:rRNA from 1 species